rnacentral:rRNA from 1 species
UACCAGCACCCCGAGUGGUCGGGACGAUUAUUGGGCCUAAAGCAUCCGUAGCCGGCCUUACAAGUCCUCCGUUAAAUCCAGCUGCUUAACAGAUGGGCUGCGGAGGAUACUAUAAGACUAGGAGGCAGGAGAGGCAAGCGGUACUCAGUGGGUAGGGGUAAAAUCCGUUGAUCCAUUGAAGACCACCAGUGGCGAAGGCGGCUUGCCAGAAUGCGCUCGACGGUGAGGGAUGAAAGCUUGGGGAGCAAACCGG